GACGUAGGGGGCGAGCGUUGUCCGGAUUUAUUGGGCGUAAAGCGUGCGUAGGUGGCGACGUAAGUCGGGUGUGAAAGCCCCGGGCUCAACCUGGGAAUUGCAUUCGAGACUGCAUUGCUGGAGUACGGAAGAGGAGGGCGGAAUUCCCGGUGUAGCGGUGAAAUGCGUAGAUAUCGGGAGGAACAUCAGUGGCGAAGGCGGCCUUCUGGUCCAGUACUGACACUCAAGUGCGAAAGCGUGGGGAGCAAACAGG
rnacentral:rRNA from 1 species